rnacentral:rRNA from 1 species
UACAGAGGGGGCAAGCGUUGUUCGGAAUUACUGGGCGUAAAGCGCGUGUAGGCGGCCCUGCAAGUCGGGUGUGAAAUCCCACGGCUCAACCGUGGAAGUGCACUCGAAACUGCAGGGCUAGAGUCCUGGAGAGGAAGGUGGAAUGCUUGGUGUAGAGGUGAAAUUCGUAGAUAUCAAGCGGAACACCGGUGGCGAAGGCGGCCUUCUGGACAGUGACUGACGCUGAGACGCGAAAGCGUGGGGAGCAAACAGG